rnacentral:rRNA from 1 species
UACGGAGGGUGCGAGCGUUGUCCGGAAUCACUGGGCGUAAAGGGCGCGUAGGCGGCAUGCCAAGCGUGUGGUGAAAGCCCGGGGCUCAACCCCGGGUCGGCCGUGCGGACUGGCGUGCUCGAGCACUGUAGGGGCGGGUGGAAUUCCGGGUGUAGCGGUGGAAUGCGUAGGAGGAUCCGGAAGAACACCGGUGGCGAAGGCGGCCCGACAUGG